UAGCUGCUGGCCUACGCCACAGCCACAGCAACACCGGAUCCGAGUUGCCCAUCUGCAACCUAUGCCAGCAACACUGGAUCCUUAAAAAUACUAUGUUGAGCCACAACGGGGACUCCCUCAUUAUGUCUUUUUGUCUCAUUCAGUUUAUUAGUUCAAGGAGAUCAGGGAAAAUAACUGAAAAAAAAAAAAGACAAAAAACUGAAAAAAAAAAGAAAAUAUCUGAAACCACCAUUUAUUGUGUACUUCUUAGUGUUAUCAGGACUCAGUUGAGGUCACAUAUUUAUCAGGCACCUACUGCAUACUAAGCACUAUGCUAUGUGCUAGGGAUAAAACUGCUACUUCAGAAUUAUUUAAUUCUCACUAUAACCUUGGAUGCCUCAUAUCAUUAUUACAAUCUUGUAGACAUUGAACUUAAGGUCCAGGUUUUCCCAGCUGAUAAGUGGCAGAAGGAUGUGAACCCAAGGUUGGACAGUAUUUCCAACUCAUAGUGCCCUAAUACAGUCCCCGUCAUAACCUUCAUAUGAAUAUUCACACAUAUACCUAAUUCCGUACCCAACGCUCAUUAUGCGUCUGGCUCAUAUUUAGUAUUGGUGUUGAUGCUCUUCAUACACCCCUGUUGUAGAUAAUCUAAGACUAGUACGCAUGUUUUAAAAAAGUAAGGGAAAAUGUUUAACCUCACAAGUUAUUAGAGAAAUGCAAAGCUAAGAGAAAAAUGAGGCACUGUUUUAUAUCUGUUAAUGGAAAUUUAUCUUCUCUCUCUCUCUCUCUUUUUUUUGGUUGGACCUGUGUUAUGCAGAAGGUCCUGGGCCAGGGAUCAAACCUGUGCCAUAGCAGUAAUCUGAGCCACCUCAGUGAUAACACUGGAUCCUUAACCCACUGUCUGUCUGAAAAAUUUCAGUCCCCUGACUUAUUGAAGGAAUUAAAUAUAAAAAAUAAUCCAAAGAAAGUGUUUUCUGUACAAAAAUGGUCAUUACAGCAUCAUUUCCAAAGCCAAUGCAUUAUUUCAAUGACCAAGAAUAGCUUAAUGAAAGUUACAGUAUACCAGAUAUUCUUAAAUGGAACAUUAUGUAGCAAUCAAAAGUGGUAAUUAUUAAGACCUAAAAAAGUCUGAAAAUAAUGAAAAAAUCUGAAUGCGGACUUAUAUUUAAGCCUUCAAUACAGCCAUGUAACAAUUACAUGUGAAACCAAGCCUUAAAAAUGUAGGACAACAUCUGGCACAUAGUAAAGAGUAUUGGUUGAAUGAAUGGGUGACUGAACAGAAAUGAUAAUACUCAGCUUGGUAUGUAAUCUCAUCCCCAGAAGUUAUAAAAUUUAAAUAACAUACUAUGGUUGAAGCAAGAUAACAAUGAAAUUUACAUAAUGACCCAGAAAAUAUCAGUUACAGAAGAUAGUUGCAGGUCUAGGAAAAAAUUAAUAUUUUUGAUGAUACAUACAUGCAAAUGAUUUCCAACAAAACUUUAGAACAUUUAAAGAAUGAUAGUGAUUAUAUCAACAUUAUAAGAUUGUAUAAUAGCAUCAUUUUAUGUAUUUCUAAUUUAUUAUCUAAUUCCCAAAAUAAUACAGAUUGAGGGAAAAAAUUUUUUAAGAACAGAAAAGGAACAGACAGUUGUACAAGCUGUGGAGUUGAACUGGUUACUACGAUUGACAGUGACAACCAAGGGGAAAGAGACCCAUGGUGGUUUUAUAACAGUCCCUGACAUUUAUUGAGUAAUGAUUUUGCUUGGUCCUGACAGAAGCAUUCUACAUGCUAUCUUGUAUCCUUACAGAAGAGUCUAGAAGCUAUACGGGCUGCCUCCAGAGCCAAACUGCUGGGGUUCAUAUCCAGCUGCACCAACUGUAUGACUUUGGGUAAAUUCCUUAACUUCACCUCUUAAAUGGGAGUGAUAGUAUCCACCUCACAGGGUGGUUGUGUCCAGUGCUUUGCACACGAGAAAGUGCUUAAAGUUAGCUAUUUUCAUCAUAACUCAGGCAUAUUAUUGUUCCUUUCUUACUAAGGAGGAAACCGAGGCUUAUAGACAUUAAAGAAGCAAGAUUCAAACCCAAAUACAUCUGCUCACAUGUUUUCCACCACGCCUUUUUGAGUAUAUUGCUGACAGAAGGGAAUGCCCAUUUUGAUAAGACAUCAAAGAAAAACAAAUUCUCACAUUUUUAUGCAUUUGAUGACUGGAAAAAAUUCCCACAAUUCACCUUCUAGGUUUGUACAGUUCAAACUGUGUUCCUUAUCCAUUACAUAUACACUUCUGGUGCCAGGUUCUAUAGGAUGCAUUCAUAUCCUUGUAUAUCUGGUCUUGUACCUUUGGUUCAUGUUGCUGGGUGAGUCAGCAUCAUAGUAGCAGGCAUAGACCAGGAACCCACUCGUUGUACUGGUAUGGCUAGCAAAGCAAAUAUAUACCAUUAAGUCAAAACUAAAUAUAUCCCCUGGUUUAUUUCACUUUAAUUGGAUUUCAAAGAUACAUCUACUCUAAGGGUACUGACACAAGAAGAAGCAUAAUAGAAGGGAGGCCAGAGUGGAGAAAGAUUAUCAUGUUAACUGAUUGAAUUUUCUUUUUCAAAAUUUCCCAAAGCAUUUGACCAUGUGAGCGCAUUGCCAGGGUGGCUCCCGGAGCCUUGGAGGGGGCUUUGCCAAUGAAGGGGCCUGGAGCGUAAGCUUCACUAGCUUCAGGACUAAUGUGCCUUUAUUGUUUUUCCAAUGGGAAGGUUAACAAUGAUUUUCCACUUUGCAUCUUAUUACGUAGCCAUUGCUUAGAUGUGAUGGUUAUAUUACAGUGUGGAAGAGCUUACAUAUCUGUUUACAAGACAUGUGAAAAUAAUACUUGUAACUCUGAAUGGUAUAAACUAGAAACAUUUUGUUAAAUGUAUAAGAAGACAUAUACAUGUAAUGAAUAUUCCAAGGAAACUGCCUUAUUUUCAGGGUUUUGGAAAUGUUAUAGCACAUUAACUAACUCUGGCAGGAGGGGAAACUUAUUGGUCAUCACAGCCUUUGGUUCUUCUUUUAUCUUACAUCUUGGAGGUCUACUCCGAGCCCCUCCCCACUGUCACCACUGAGGAACACGUUGCCUCUUUGAAUCUUCAGCUGCCAGUGCAGCCAUACCUGUGUCACUGGAACCAUAAAGAGAUUCUGCCUUGCUUUGCCAUGGCACUUUUACCUACCCAGAUCUAUCUCAAUCCAUAGCUCUACCUGAGCUCCUUUGCUUCUUCUUUUCAGAGUACACAUUAACUCAAGUUGUUAGAAGGGGAAGAACCAUAUAUUGUAGCACAAAAAUUGGCUGUCAAAUCAAAGAAAACGGAAGCUGUUCUAAUUUUGGGCACUGCAAAUACAUUAAACCACUUAUUGAAGUUUUCUUGGUGCCUUAAUAUUACAUGGCCUCAUGGCCCUCACUCCAGGCACCUGAGAUUAAUCAGCUUUGUAAGGAAGACAGUCUUAAACAACUAAACAGGAAAUAGGACACCCCAAAUCUGAGGAGAGUCACUGAGACUAGAACAUAACAGAGCACAUCUGAAUGUUGUAAGGUCACAGAAUAGACAUUUCUAUUCAGGAAUCCUUUAGUGACAAAAGAAGGCCGUUCAUGGCAAGUGGAGGAGGAGGAUAAAGUGGGUAAGACUCUUUGCUUACAUUAAUUGGCAAGAUAUAUGGACUCUGGGAAUAAGAUAUAUCUGCAGUGGCUUUCUGUGGGGGAUAGUUACCUCUCUAAAGUUAUGGCUUUGGGAAGGGAUCAGUAGGCUGUUCUGGCUUAGUUAUUAAUGACCAUCUGACAGUUAAUUAUGCCACUUCUUAUAUCUGGAUAGCCAUUUUUAGACUGGAUGGGCUAACAUCUGGACAGUCAUUUUAGACUUAAUUUUAUUUGUACUUAGUUAUUCUUAAAUGCAUAUAUUCUUGUGCCCUUCUCAAUUUUGGAGGUAGAAAGAAAAGUUAGGUAUCAUUUAUAACUUUUUAUUUUUAAUCACACAUUUGAAACUUCUCAUUGAAAAUGUCACUCAUCAAAAUAAUGAUUUUUUCUGAUCACGGUAUAGCAUUUCACCCUAGCUCUCAUCACCCUCAGGAUUUUAUUGCAGUGUGUAUGAAAGCUCUGGACUUGGGAAAAGGAAACAGAAGUUUCUCAUAGCAGAGUUAAGGCAGAGGUCGCUGCAUUGACAAAGGAGAAACCAUGUGUGGGAAUAUGGAGAAAGGACAGUUGCCCCAGUAAUGUGUGGUCAAAACCAUAAGGGAAGGCACCUAAUUCCUGCCUGGGACUGAAUUUACAGCAUGUUUAGUAGAAAAAAACAUAGACUUUUCAAUCAAACUGAAUCUUGAUUUCAUUAAAGCUGUAUAACAUUGGGCAAGUUGAUUAUGUAAUUGUUCUCAAACUUUAGCAUGCAUUAUAAUCCCCUAGAGGGCUAUAUAUACACAGAUUCCAGAGGCUAGUCCCAAAGUUUCCUAUUCAGUAAGUGCUGGGUGGGGCUCAAGAAUUGGCAUUUCUAGCAAGUUCGCUGGGUCCAGACUUUGAGAACCAUCAGAUUAACCCAAUUUGAGUCUCAAUCUUUUCACCUAUGAAAUGGUGCUAAUAUUACCUACCUCGCAGGAUUGCGUGACAAUAAUAACCACUUCAUAUUGAGCACUUACCAUGGGCCAGCCAAACACUAUACUAAGUGUGUAACAAUCAUUUAAUUCUUACAGAAAUCUCACGAGGAAGGAUUUGCUAUCAGAGAGAAGGUAACUGAGACAUGGAAAGUUUGCUUGAGGUCAAACGGCUAAGAAGCAGUAGAGCAGAAUUUUAACACAGGCAGUCUUGGGAUCAGUGCCAUGCUCUUAACCAUGCCCCUAUGUUGUCUUUUGAAAUUAAAGGAGAUCAUGUAUAAGGUAUCUGUUAUGGUGUCUGGCACAUGGUUGCUUAGUACGUGUAGCAACUGGUAGUAAGUUUGAGUUGUUCUUUCUCAAAAGGACCCAGAG
rnacentral:lncRNA from 1 species